CCCACUGGAAACAGACAGAGUGAUCGCAACGACAGCUACUGUUCGGAAAAAAUGAUGGAACCUGACACAAUGCAAUCAUUAGUGCAGAUGAAUGGCAAUUGCGCAACUACUAUUCACGUGCCAUUUCAGCGCCGCUGCUGAGGCGAUAAACGACUUUCGUCAGCCUUCGCCGCUAUUGCGGUGGUGUAGUAAGCUGAUUGGUAUAGCCAACGAAAUGAUAAACAUCGUGUGAAUUGAAUUCGGUUGGAGCGAUUCAAUUAUUAUAAUAGAGCCGACAACUAUCAUUAGUGAUUUUCUAUUCCAUGUACAUUAUAAACUGAGGAAACGUUAAAUUGGUUACUAAUUGCUUUAAUUUUUCGUAUCAAUCUAAUGCAACCAAAACAGUUAUUUAAA